rnacentral:tRNA from 1 species
GGGCCUGUAGCUUAGUGGUAGAGCACCCGCCUUGCACGCGGGACAUGGGAGUUCGAUUCUCCCCAGGUCCA